GUGAAGGUUGGAUUACCCUGGGGAAUGUUCUCAAAAUACUCAGACUCAGCCCUCCUCCCAGACAUUUCUCAUUCAGCAAGUCUGGGAUGAGGCCUGAGCCGGUGAUCUGGGACAAGCACUGCAGGCGAGUCUAAUGUGCAGCUCAGACGACCAUGUCUCGUCAAAGGAAAUGGUUCCUUAGGCCUGUACAAUACGGUGCUGAGUUAUUUUAACCUGAUGCAAAUGUAAAAUUCAGAGAUUUCACAUGGACAUCUCAAUUUCCAACUUCUCUUGAAAAAUUCCUCAACAACAGCUGGUGGGAGCUGAAUAGGGAGACUCCUCCGUCUAGGGAGCAUGUGAACUGUCCACUUCAACAAAGGGGUCACUGCUGCUUGCUGUCUCACGUCCUGCUAACUUCACUCCAAGCCACAGGUGGCUUGAGGCAAUGGACAAAGCAGCCCAUCCUGUCCGCCAGCUAAUGUGUUUCUGCUAUUUAUCUCCACCUUCGUUCUGCUUUUCUCCUCGGAUGGGGAAAGGAUCCAAUUAGAUGUCAUGCAGUCCACCCUGGGACUUCUCAGAUCUGCUCUACAAGCUGGGAAAGAGGAUUUUAGAACCACAUCUGGGAAGAGGUCACUCUGCACAACAGUAGCCUGCCGCCCCUGGCUAUCAAGAGCCCAGAGUGGCUGGGCCUUCUGCACCAACUGGACCGAAGCACCGACAUGUGGGUCCAACGCUGCUGCAUUCUGAAAGAUGGCUGCUUGUACUUCUACACUAGCAUUCGCUCCACCCAGGCCUCAGGUGGCCUAUAUCUGCAAGGAUAUAGGGUGAAUGAGCAGACCCUUAGCUUCAAGCAGUCAGUAAUUGAACUCAAACCUCCAUCUGAAGAGUUCAAGUCUUUCUAUUUCUGUGCAGAAAAUAAAAGAGAAAACGAACGGUCCCUGGAAAACAACUGCCAGGUACACAAAGCUGCUGUCCUCGCUGUGGAGCUGACCUCCUAGUUGAGGAGUCUAGCAGUAAACCAGCGAUAUGAGAAAUUGAUGAAUUAGCAAAGGAGGGACUCAAGGUCGCCAGUGCAAACCCCACGGAAGGUGGAUGUAUUCAGCAGGAAGCACUGAGGCACCGAAGGAACUUGAGUGACCUGUAGAUUAAGGCCUACAGGUGUUAAAAGAAGAAUUGCCGUUCAAGCAAACUGCCAAAAACCAACUCACUCUAGAUACUCUGGAAAAUUCAGUACUGAAAACAAAGAAAGAUGACCUUUCUGUUUUGGAUAUCACUAGCUGUAUGUAUUUUUUCCAGUUCUGCCAGGAAUUCAUUGGCAAAAGCAAGUUGACAACUGAGGUAAUACCUGGAAAGACUCACCUUAAACCCUUCCAUGACUCAUCUUUUUUUCUACCAUCUGUAAAUAAGAAUAAAAAUAUACCACUUCUUAAUUAUUUCUAUGUAUGUUAUUCACUGGCAAAAUUGAUAUUUAAGCUGAUUUCCCUUCAACAUGCUUCUGAAGGGAAAUCACCAGUCACCAACUGACUUGUACUGAGACAAUACAAAUGUAUUUUAUUAAUAAUAUCAACCUAACUAUUACAAAACAUGCUGUGGAAAAUACAUAUGUUGCCUAGAAUUAU